CUUGAGAGAACUCGGGUGAAGGAACUAGGCAAAAUGGUACCGUAACUUCGGGAGAAGGUACGCUCUCGACGGUGAAGUCCCUUGCGGAUGGAGCUAUUGAGAGUCGCAGAUACCAGGUGGCUGCAACUGUUUAUUAAAAACACAGCACUGUGCAAAAUCGUAAGAUGACGUAUACGGUGUGACGCCUGCCCGGUGCCGGAAGGUUAAUUGAUGGGGUUAGACUUCGGUCGAAGCUCUUGAUCGAAGCCCCGGUAAACGGCGGCCGUAACUAUAACGGUCCUAAGGUAGCGAAAUUCCUUGUCGGGUAAGUUCCGACCUGCACGAAUGGCGUAAUGAUGGCCACGCUGUCUCCACCCGAGACUCAGUGAAAUUGAAAUCGCUGUGAAGAUGCAGUGUACCCGCGGCUAGACGGAAAGACCCCGUGAACCUUUACUACAGCUUGGCACUGAACAUUGACCCUACAUGUGUAGGAUAGGUGGGAGGCUUUGAAGCACGUACGCCAGUAUGUGUGGAGCCGUCCUUGAAAUACCACCCUUGUAGUGUUGAUGUUCUAACGUCGACCCCUAAUCGGGGUUGCGGACAGUGCCUGGUGGGUAGUUUGACUGGGGCGGUCUCCUCCCAAAGAGUAACGGAGGAGCACGAAGGUGGGCUAAUCACGGUUGGACAUCGUGAGGUUAGUGCAAUGGCAUAAGCCCGCUUGACUGCGAGAAUGACAAUUCGAGCAGGUGCGAAAGCAGGUCAUAGUGAUCCGGUGGUUCUGAAUGGAAGGGCCAUCGCUCAACGGAUAAAAGGUACUCCGGGGAUAACAGGCUGAUACCGCCCAAGAGUUCAUAUCGACGGCGGUGUUUGGCACCUCGAUGUCGGCUCAUCACAUCCUGGGGCUGAAGUCGGUCCCAAGGGUAUGGCUGUUCGCCAUUUAAAGUGGUACGCGAGCUGGGUUUAGAACGUCGUGAGACAGUUCGGUCCCUAUCUGCCGUGGGCGUUGGAAGAUUGAAGGGGGCUGCUCCUAGUACGAGAGGACCGGAGUGGACGAACCUCUGGUGUUCGGGUUGUGUCGCCAGACGCAUUGCCCGGUAGCUAAGUUCGGAAUCGAUAACCGCUGAAAGCAUCUAAGCGGGAAGCGAGCCCUGAGAUGAGUCUUCCCUGAUACUUUAAGUAUCCUAAAGGGUUGUCGGAGACUACGACGUUGAUAGGUCAGGUGUGUAAGUGCUGUGAGGCAUUGAGCUAACUGAUACUAAUUGCCCGUGAGGCUUAACCAUACAACACCCAAGGGGUUU
rnacentral:rRNA from 17 species